UACGGAGGGGGCUAGCGUUGUUCGGAAUUACUGGGCGUAAAGCGCACGUAGGCGGCUUUGCAAGUUAGAGGUGAAAGCCCGGGGCUCAACUCCGGAAUUGCCUUUAAAACUGCAUCGCUAGAAUUGUGGAGAGGUAAGUGGAAUUCCGAGUGUAGAGGUGAAAUUCGUAGAUAUUCGGAAGAACACCAGUGGCGAAGGCGACUCACUGGACACAUAUUGACGCUGAGGCGCGAAAGCGUGGGGAGCAAACAGG
rnacentral:rRNA from 1 species